UUCGACGCGUUGAAAGAGGAAUAGUAGGUAUUAACUCCGAGUAUUAGAGAGUUGACGGCAGGUGCAAGUCAAUCCGGAGUGAUCUGAACUCGCCUCCCAGCACUUUCCCCCAAGACCGAGUACAAUCGGUUGCGUAAGGGAUAGCGAAUCAUCCCCGUUACGGAUGGAAACAAGUGGGUGAAUGAUCAUUGUUCACCAAUCUGGGUGGUACCGCGGGAGUAAACACAACCUCUCGUCCCUUUU
rnacentral:ncRNA from 1 species